UACGGAAGGGGCAAGCGUUGUUCGGAAUCAUUGGGCGUAAAGGGCGCGUAGGUGGUUCUGUAUGUCUACCGUGAAAGCGUACGGCUCAACCGUAUUUUGUCGGUGGAAACUGCAGGACUUGAGGCUGGGAGGGGCUGGUGGAAUUCCCUGUGUAGCGGUGAAAUGCGUAGAGAUGGGGGAGAACACUCGUGGCGAAGGCGGCCAGCUAGACCAGCUUCUGACACUGAGGCGCGACAGCGUGGGGAGCAAACAGG
rnacentral:rRNA from 1 species